GACGAACGCUGGCGGCGUGCUUAACACAUGCAAGUCGAACGAAAAGACGGAAAGAGCUUGCUCUUUUCAGAAUUGAGUGGCAAACGGGUGAGUAACACGUAAACAACCUGCCUUCAGGAUGGGGACAACAGACGGAAACGACUGCUAAUACCGAAUAAGUUCCAAGGGCCGCAUGGCCCAUGGAAGAAAAGGUGGCCUCUACCUGUAAGCUAUCGCCUGAAGAGGGGUUUGCGUCUGAUUAGCUGGUUGGAGGGGUAACGGCCCACCAAGGCGACGAUCAGUAGCCGGUCUGAGAGGAUGAACGGCCACACUGGAACUGAGACACGGUCCAGACUCCUACGGGAGGCAGCAGUGGGGAAUCUUCCGCAAUGGGCGAAAGCCUGACGGAGCAACGCCGCGUGAGUGAUGACGGCCUUCGGGUUGUAAAACUCUGUGAUCCGGGACGAAAAGGCAGAGUGCGAAGAACAAACUGCAUUGACGGUACCGGAAAAGCAAG
rnacentral:rRNA from 1 species